AAACAUUUUCGGGGGAAAAAUAUUUUUGGUAUAACCUGCUCCCUGCGUUUGUAAAUAGCUGCCGUAUCUUGACUGUACAAAGGUAGCAUAAUAAUUAGUCUUUUAAUUGGAGGCUUGUAUGAAUGGUUGAAUGUAAAAUUAACUUUUUUGUGAAUAUUUGAAUUUUAUUUAUAAGUUAAAAAGCUUAUUUAGUUAAAAGGGACGAGAAGACCCUAUAGAAUUUUAAAGAAAUUGAAAAAUUUUUUGGUUGGGGUGACAAAAAUUAACUUUUUUUUGUGUCAUUGAUGAAUGAUUUUAUGAUCCUAAAUUAGAUAGUAAGAUAAAGUUACCUUAGGGAUAACAGCAUUAUUUUUUUUUUAAGAACAUAUUUAUAAAAAAGUUUAUGACCUCGAUGUUGAAUUAAAAUUACAUUUAAAUGUAGGUGUUUAAAGG
rnacentral:rRNA from 1 species